UGAGGAAUAUUGGUCAAUGGGCGGGAGCCUGAACCAGCCAAGUCGCGUGAGGGAAGACGGUCCUAUGGAUUGUAAACCUCUUUUGUCGGGGAGCAAAGAGGCCACGUGUGGUAAAAGCGAGAGUACCCGAAGAAAAAGCAUCGGCUAACUCCGUGCC
rnacentral:rRNA from 1 species